UUGACCUCAAAUCGAGUGAGACUACCCGCUGAACUUAGCAUAUCAUAAGCGGAGGAAAGAACUAACAAGGAUUCCCCUAGUAACUGCGAGU
rnacentral:rRNA from 1 species